rnacentral:tRNA from 1 species
GUGCUCUUAGCCAAGUUGGUCAAGGCGCUUGCCUGAUACGCAGGAGAUCGGGGGUUCAAAUCCCUCAGAGCACA